AGAGUUUGAUCCUGGCUCAGGAUGAACGCUAGCGGCAGGCCUAAUACAUGCAAGUCGAGGGGCAUCACGGGUAGCAAUACCUGGUGGCGACCGGCGCACGGGUGCGUAACGCGUAUGCGACCUACCUACAACAGAGGGAUAGCCCGGAGAAAUUCGGAUUAAUACUUCAUAAAGCAGGGGUACCGCCUGGUACUAUUUGCUAAAGGUCGCGAGAUUGGUUGUAGAUGGGCAUGCGUUCGAUUAGCUAGUUGGUAGUGUAACGGACUACCAAGGCGACGAUCGAUAGGGGGUCUGAGAGGAUGAUCCCCCACACUGGUACUGAGAUACGGACCAGACUCCUACGGGAGGCAGCAGUAGGGAAUAUUGGGCAAUGGACGGAAGUCUGACCCAGCCAUGCCGCGUGCAGGAAGAAGGCCUUCUGGGUUGUAAACUGCUUUUAUCAGGGAAGAAAAUGCCCUUGCGAGGGAGCUUGCCGGUACCUGAUGAAUAAGCACCGGCUAACUACGUGCCAGCAGCCGCGGUAAUACGUAAGGGGGCAACCCUUUUCCGGAUUUUUUGGUUUUAAAGGUGGGUAAGCCGCCCGGCAAGUCAAUGGGGAAAUGGUACAACUCAACUGUGGAACUGCCAUUGAUACUGUUAGGCUUGAGUACAGAUGAGGUAAGCGGAAUUUAUGUUGCUUCGGUGAAAUGCAUAAAUACCAUAAAUGAACACCAAUAACGAAGACAGCUUACUGGGCUGUAACUGACUCUGAUGCACGAAAGCGUGGGUAUCGACGGGAUUAGAUACCCUGGUAGUCCACGCUGUAGACGAUGCAGCCUCGCUGAUGGAAAAAUAAUGUCAGUGGGCCAAUCGAAAUCGGUAAAGUCUCCACCAGGGUAGUAUCCCCUCUAGGGUUGAACCUCCCAGGAAAUGGACGGGGAGUCAGCAAAAGCGGUGGAG
rnacentral:rRNA from 1 species